rnacentral:rRNA from 1 species
AGCUCCAAUAGCAUAUACUAAAGUUGUUGCAGUUAAAAAGCUCGUAGUUGAAGUUAAAGCUUUAUUUGGGUUAAAAAUCCAUUUGCCUUUUAACGGUUAAAUAGGAUUCCAGUAUUGCUUUUUUAAAGUUCAGUUUGUAUUGCCUUUGGUAGUAUUUAUUUGGACAUUUCACUGUGAGAAAAUUGUGGUGUUUAAAGCAGGCGUCUCUGUCUGAUCUUUUGCAGCAUGGUAUGAUGGAACAUGACAUUUUGCGCAAUUGGUUGCGAUUAAAGUGUAAUGAUUAAUAGGGAUGGAUGGGGGUGUUCAUAUUGGUGGGCGAGAGGUGAAAUUCGUUGACCCUAUCAAGAUGAACUUCUGCGAAAGCAUUCACCAAAUACUUCCCCA